rnacentral:lncRNA from 1 species
GAUCUUUAAUCACAGUCUGAAAGAAUAUUUAGUAUUCUUGAAAUCGGAAAAAGUAAGACAUCCAAAUAAAUACUUCAAUUGAUGAAUAAGGUUACAGCUUUCAGUAAUCAAGUUGAUGUAAUAAUCAUGGCUAUGAUAUUUUAAUAGAUAUAUAUACAGUGGCCAAUCCAGGAUGCACUGUAGAGGGUGUACACAUUCCCACCCACCUUUUAUUCCCUAUAAAAAAAUAUGUUUAAGAUUGUUUAUCGGAUAUUUUUUUUAAUCCUAAUUGGUUUUUUCUAUUUUCUUGGAUUUCAACUCCCCUUUUAAAAAAUUCUGGAUCCUCCCCAGAUAUAUAUAUUAACAAAAUUUUAUGGCUUAAUCAAGAUCUUUAUCUGAUUUGGUAUCAUUAGUUAUAGAAUGAAUAUUGUCAUCUUUAGAAGUCUUAUACUUAGGUUGUAACCAAUGGAGGAAAAUGUCUAAACUACUUCUUAUACCUAUACCCUGUUAAAUUUUCACCCAACAUUGUUUCAUGUUAUCAUUUGGGUAUUUACCCUAUGGGAAGUAUAGCCAAUAUUGUGACAUAUUUGAACCUGUCCUGUCAGUUUGUCACAUGAUCCCUGUAAUAUUCACAGCCUUUGUACUACAUUUGAUUGCUAAAAAACCUUAUCUCAGUCAUUAUUAAUAAUUUAGAAGACAGUGCAAUUUAUUGAAAUACAUGUAAUUAGCAUUGUAACACAAAUAAAUGUAAUUUUCUUUAUAACCUUAUUGUCUUUUGUCCUACCAGGGAUAGGAAGUAACUUUAUAACUCAUUUAAGCAUGACCUAACAGAAAUUAGGAGUCAUUUUCCACUUCCUUUACUGAGGAAGUGUAAGAGAUAAGUCAUAGUACAUUUCCCAUCUGUCUUUUGCUUUAUAUUUGUCUAUGUAGAAUGUAAUUGAAAUCCAAAUAUACCAGACAUCCCUCCUAACGUGGGAUACUUAUUUUCUGAUUCAUUUUGUUGAUAUUGCAAUAGAGAAUGCUUAGUUUGUCAAGGAGAAAAUUUUCAUUCCAGAGGACUAAAAAAUGUUAUUGACAAAUACAAAUAGUUGAUUGUGUAGAGUGAUAUGUUAUUUCUCUUAAAGUUAUUUAAUGUUUAUUAUAAAGAAUUGCUUUAACUUUUUUUAACUAACUCUACUGUAAUAGGAGAAAUAAAAGACAUUAAUAAU